GCCUGGGUGGCUCAGUCCGUUGAGCAUCCGACUUCGGCUCGGGUCAUGACCUUGUGGUUCGUGAGUUCGAGCCCCGCGUCGGGCU
rnacentral:tRNA from 1 species